UACGUAGGGUGCGAGCGUUAAUCGGAAUUACUGGGCGUAAAGCGUGCGCAGGCGGUUCGCCAAGUCAGGUGUGAAAUCCCCGGGCUUAACCUGGGAAUUGCGCUUGAAACUAGCGGGCUUGAGUGUGGCAGAGGGGGGUGGAAUUCCACGUGUAGCAGUGAAAUGCGUAGAGAUGUGGAGGAACACCGAUGGCGAAGGCAGCCCCCUGGGUCAAGACUGACGCUCAUGCACGAAAGCGUGGGGAGCAAACAGG
rnacentral:rRNA from 1 species